rnacentral:lncRNA from 1 species
GAAAAUUAAACUUUUUGAUAGAGAGAGUACUUCAAUAGCUACGUUCCUUGUUAUAAUGUCAUCAGUCAAUUCGUGCUCUAUUGAUUAAAGAAAUAAAAAAUAUGAAAAUUAUAUAACAAUAUGUUAAUAACAUAACAAUAUGUAUCCCACAAAGAUCCCUUCUUUGGUUUUUGAUCCCACCCAAGGUCCCUUCACACACUUUUUGCCAUAAUGUAUUCCCACAAAGAUCCCUUCUUUGGUUUUUGAUCCCACCCAAGGUCCCUUCACGACUUUUUGCCAUGUACCAUAAGCCAAGCAGAAUCUAUGCAAGGUGGGUGAUUCCACUGAUCCACACAAAAGCGUUUGCCAGUACACAGCCAGUCCAACAAGGUCCACACAAAUCAC